AUUGAACGCUGGCGGCAGGCCUAACACAUGCAAGUCGAACGAGUGGCGGACGGGUGAGUAAUGUCUGGGAAACUGCCCGAUGGAGGGGGAUAACUACUGGAAACGGUAGCUAAUACCGCAUACCAUCGGAUGUGCCCAGAUGGGAUUAGCUAGUAGGUGGGGUAACGGCUCACCUAGGCGACGAUCCCUAGCUGGUCUGAGAGGAUGACUAGCCACACUGGAACAGAGACACGGUCCAGACUCGUACGGGAGGCAGCAGUGGGGAAUAUUCCACAAUGGGCGCAAGCCUGAUGCAGCCAUGCCGAGUGUAUGAAGAAGGUUUUCGGGUUGUAAAGUACUGUCAGCGAGGAGGCGUUACCCGCAGAAGAAGCACCGGCUAACUCCGUGCCAGCAGCCGCGGUAAUAC
rnacentral:rRNA from 1 species